rnacentral:rRNA from 1 species
CUGGAGGUAUCAGAAGUGCGAAUGCUGACAUAAGUAACGAUAAAGCGGGUGAAAAGCCCGCUCGCCGGAAGACCAAGGGUUCCUGUCCAACGUUAAUCGGGGCAGGGUGAGUCGACCCCUAAGGCGAGGCCGAAAGGCGUAGUCGAUGGGAAACGGGUUAAUAUUCCCGUACUUGGUGUUACUGCGAAGGGGGGACGGAGAAGGCUAUGUUGGCCGGGCGACGGUUGUCCCGGUUUAAGCGUGUAGGUGUGUGUUCCAGGUAAAUCCGGUUCACUUUAACACUGAGGCGUGAUGACGAGGCACUACGGUGCUGAAGCAACAAAUGCCCUGCUUCCAGGAAAAGCCUCUAAGCAUCAGGUAACAU